rnacentral:rRNA from 1 species
CCUUACGGGCGGUGAGUGCAACUGACGCUGAGGCUCGGAAGUGUGGGUAUCAAACAGGAUUAGAUACCCUGGUAGUCCACACAGUAAACGAUGAAUACUCGCGGUUGGUUCGUUAGAGUCAGCCGCCAAGCGAAAGCGUUAAGUAUUCCACCUGGGGAGUACGCCGGCAACGGUGAAACUCAAAGGAAUUGACGGGGGCCCGCACAAGCGGAGGAACAUGUGGUUUAAUUCGAUGAUACGCGAGGAACCUUACCCGGGCUUGAACUGCCAGUGACUCAUGCAGAGACGCAUGUUUCUUCGGACACUGGCGGAGGUGCUGCAUGGUUGUCGUCAGCUCGUGCCGUGAGGUGUCGGCUUAAGUGCCAUAACGAGCGCAACCCUUCUCCCUGUUUGCCAUCGGGUUAAGCCGGGCACUCCAGGGACACUGCCAUCGUAAGAUGUGAGGAAGGUGGGGAUGACGUCAAAUCAGCACGGCCCUUACGUCCGGGGCUACACACGUGUUACAAUGGGCGGUACAGAAAGCAGCUACCCCGCGAGGGGAUGCCAAUCUCAAAAACCGUUCUCAGUUCGGACUGGAGUCUGCAACCCGACUCCACGAAGCUGGAUUCGCUAGUAAUCGCGCAUCAGCCAUGGCGCGGUGAAUACGUUCCCGGGCCUUGCACACACCGCCCGUA